UCCUCAUGUCCCAUGAACUGGAAGUCCAGUUCAACCUUUUUGGCCAACAUUGGAAACAAGCUCUUGGACCUGCGUCUCUUUGAUGUUUUGUAUGGGGACUUAAAAGAAAUUAUCCAUCUACAGAAUCACACAAGCAUACAGCAAAGACUCUCGAAGUGGUUUACUGGAGCCCGAGUGGAAGUGGAAAUAGACUAGAGAGACUGCCAGUUCAAACUCAGGUUGGGGAGGUCUUUCAAGAUGGACAGUUUCAGUAAAGUAUGAGAGAUUUCAAAUUUAAGCAUGCAUAUGGCAUGUAGGUUAUUUUUAAAAAUGUUUAACAAAAAUGUAUUGUGAAAGAUCUAUAUAGGUGUGUAUAUUCACAUUGUGUGUAUCAAUGUGAAUAUACGUGUAUAAAGUUAUAUAGAUAGUAUUUAGAUGUAUACAUUUGUAGACCUGUAGGAAAAUAUGUAGGUGUCUUUAUUUGUGUGCAUCUAUAGAUAUAUAUUUAUAGAUCUGUUUAUAAGUUUGUUAUAGUAAACUAGCUUCUGUUAUUUUCAAAGAUGUCGUGAAUAAUUGCAGAUUUCUUUUUGUGGCACCAUUCCCUGAGUAUUAAUGAAGUUCUAAUAAUUGCUGUAGUGAGGUAAAAAAUAACUCCUGACAAUAUUUUAAAUUACUAAAUAAAAGCCUUGAGCAAAAUAAA